rnacentral:rRNA from 1 species
UACGUAGGAUCCAAGCGUUAUCCGGAAUUACUGGGCGUAAAGAGUUGCGUAGGUGGAUUGUUAAGUGGGGCGUGAAAGUGUACGGCUCAACCGUAUUAUUGCGUUCCAAACUGACAAACUAGAGUACGAGAGAGGUAGAUGGAAUUCCCAGUGUAGGAGUGAAAUCCGUAGAUAUUGGGAGGAACACCGAUGGCGUAGGCAGUCUACUGGCUCGUUACUGACACUAAGGCACGAAAGCGUGGGGAGCAAACGGG